rnacentral:sRNA from 1 species
ACUCAACAAGAAUUAAUUAAAAAGGGUGAGUUUAAGUUGUAAAAGCGUGCCGCCUUGAGCGGAUUUUUGAGCAAUUUGUUAGCCCUAAACCUGUUUUUUACAGAGUUU